rfam:Myotis lucifugus cont2.12732, whole genome shotgun sequence.
CGUGCACCAGUGGGGUCCCUCGGCCUGGCCUGUAGGGAUUGAGCCAAGGGUGCAGGCCAGGCCAGGCCAGGCCGAGGGACCCCACUGGUGCACA